rnacentral:rRNA from 1 species
AGGACGAACGCUGGCGGCGUGCCUAACACAUGCAAGUCGAGCGAGGAGAUCCUCGGGAUGAUCCUAGCGGCGGACGGGUGAGUAACACGUGGGCAACCUGCCUCAUAGAGAGGAAUAGCCUUCCGAAAGGGAGAUUAAUACCUCAUAACAUUGCAGUUUCGCAUGGAACAGCAAUUAAAGGAGCAAUCCACUAUGAGAUGGGCCCGCGGCGCAUUAGCUAGUUGGUGAGGUAACGGCUCACCAAGGCGACGAUGCGUAGCCGACCUGAGAGGGUGAUCGGCCACAUUGGGGCUGAGACACGGCCCAGACUCCUACGGGAGGCAGCAGUGGGGAAUAUUGCACAAUGGGGGAAACCCUGAUGCAAGCAACGCCGCGUGAGUGAUGACGGCCUUCGGGUUGUAAAGCUCUGUCUUCAGGGACGAUAAUGACGGUACCUGAGGAGGAAGCCACGGCUAACUACGUGCCAGCCGCUGC